rnacentral:lncRNA from 1 species
GGAAGGGCAGUUUCCCAGAGGAAAACCAGAGUGAUAUCAUUAGAAAAAAGAGUUCCUGCUGAGAGGCAAAGAUUUACACAUGCAGACCCCAGCCACUAUUUACUGAGGGCUAGAUUGUACCAGGCACUUUACCUGUGCUGUGAUCAUGUAAUCCUGUCAAGCAAAACCCAGCAGGAAGAUAGAAGACAAUAGAGCCGUGAUUUUGACCCAGCCUCCCAGGACACAGAUGGGGUGAAGAAAUCAAAGGGGCAAACAGAAUUUGCAGCCCAAGUUUCGAAGGGGCAGUUGGGAGACAUCUUUAGGCUUUCUGCAACCAAGCCACCGUCUUCCACACAGCAAGAGACAGUUACUCAGUGGAGGAAUAAGCCUUCAGUUGCAUACCGCUCUGUGCAUUGGAUGGGAGGAUUUUGAAACUUUUGGAAGCUCCAUACUGUGGCUUUAUUCCAUGAAUCCACCAGCGCUGUGCACCAAAGUUUCUCUGUGGAGGGAGAACAUAUUUUUGCAGAGCAAGUACAGAUAAGAGGUUGGGUGCCUGAAGCCUGGAUAAUAAUAGAAUGACAGCUGAUGAUUCAUCAGUGCUCUUCAGAGCCAGCUGAUAAUACGUUGCCAGCCUUUCCCCUUUGCUCAGACAGAACAGCCACCCUCACCCACGGGGAUUCCUGCCCAGAAGGAAUUUCCACAGCCCUGUACCAAGCAUGCUUAAAGUGGCUGCCAUUUAUGUGGGGUUUCCAUGUGCCAAGGGGCACGCCAAUGGUCCUUUACAUCAACUCACUUAAUCUUUAUAUCCUCAUGACCGCCCCAGGAGAUACAUAAUAACAUCUACAUUUUAUAGGCAGAGACAGAAGCUUGGCUCAGCAUAACAGAGAGGGAGUGUGGAGCAGUGGUCAGGAUCACAGCCAGUAAAUCCAGAUGACCUGGGUUCAAGUCCCAGUCCUGCCACUUCCCAGCUGUGGGCUUUUGCACAAGUCACAUGGUCUUCCUGUGUCUCAGCCCCCACCCCCCCAUCUGUAAACAAAACAACACUGUAAAAUAACAGUGUCUACCUCAUGGGGAUCUUGCAAAGAUCAAAUAAAGAGCUUUGAAGAACAUCUGACUUAUAGUAAGCUCUGUGUGAGCAUUAGCUCAGAGAUAGUUCUCAUGUUAAACUAAAUAAGUUGCC